CUACCCCUGCCUCCCCAUGUCCUGUCCCACCAAACCAUGCAAAUCUCCCUGCAACCAGAAGCCCUUUUGGAGCCAGGGAGCGAAAUACGGAGAGCGCCGCACGGACAGCUUUUUCUCUUGGAGAUUCCACAGCAGUAAAAAGAAAAACAAAAUUCCAAUUAAUAUCGCAAUAAAUUAAUCUACCACAAAGGCUCCGUCCCGAACUGCCCCCCACCCUCUCCUUCACACCAGGUCUGCGGGGGCCGCUGCAGCUCCGACGUGGGCCACUAGGGGCCCUCUGCUCCCCUGGCCUGUGGGAGAGAAAACGUCUUUUUUCCAACUUUCUUAAUAAAAAAAGGUCUCAUGGGUAUUUUCCAAAGAAUAUCCCCAAAUGAACCAAGGGAAAGUAAAAGAAGUUUCUAAAAGCUGCUCCAGACAGCAAACACAGUUUAGAGUAGAAGAUGACCAAACCCUGCUCUUUGCUCUCUUGAUAGACGAUGGACGCAGCUACCUGGCUCUGGCCUCGGUUCCUUUUCUUCCCCUCUGAGGGGACACAGAGCAACCAAAAAUCAAGCUGGCCGGGAUAUGAGAGUGAGCAGGAAGGAACUCUACUGCCUUUCGUCCUGUAGUUCUUAAUCAUCUCUCAUGGCCUGACCCUGGGAGGUUCUCCCAGCUCCCGCCUCUCCCGGCUUUUCCUCCGACCAUCCUGAUCUCGGACUUCCCCUCCGCUGGCCGGGAGGAAGGAGCUCCUGGUCCUCCUGCGCAGACUUGUGGGCGUUUCUGCAGCCCACCCCGAGGUCUCAGCGGCUGUCAGCUUUGGGAGUCUUAGCGCCAACCUCUCCUCUUGCUCGUGUCUGUUCUGACUGUUCCUCACCUUCCCACCGUGGCCUCAGGACUGUCAGCAAGGCUGAGGCGGAGUCAGGAUCGGAACCCAGCUCUCUGGAGUCCCAAACUGUGGACUGCCGCUUACACCGCAAGCCCUCCUUCGGAGGGGGACAGAGACACGUAAAGUGACAGUGGGAAUAAGGACAGGAAGGUGUGCAUUUAAAAUGUUUGCAACACUGAAAGGUCUUGCUCGUAAAACCGAACAAAUUAGAGUGUUUAGAAGAAAAUAUCUGUCUUUGCCUUCUUGGCUGGUUCAGAAUUUCGUUGAAAAGAACUGAUUUUCUAUACCUUGCAGUGUCCUGGUUUCCAAGGACUCGCGCUUCAGUCUGACAGGAUACCUCCCUUCCCCGUACUCUGGGCUGCAUUUCAUCGCUGGCCCAAGCCAGUCACUAAGAGGCUCCCUGGAAUCAGCCUGACAGCAAACUGACAAGACCGUUGGCCGGUAUAAUCACAAGCGGAGCUGAGGACGUCCUGAUGCCUGACCCUGGGCGCUUACGUCCCGUCCCUCGCCGUGGCUCUGUGUGGACGCCUUUCAGUAAAAUCUCUUCAGCUGAGCCAUGUGGGAGUGAAUUCUGAUUCCGCAUCCUAUUUGUCACAUCAUUCUUGGUGACACAAGUCACACAUCGCUUUUCUCAGUUUCCCAUUUUUCCUUUGACUUUGUUGUGGUGCUUUUUCAUGAAAUUAUUUUUUUAAAGUGUGCACAUUUAUUUUUCCUGUUAUUUUUACUUCAGCUAUGGGGAUCAUAAUUAAUAAAGUUUUUCUUGCUUCCUGGUUAUAAAGGAAGGAAUCCUACAUUUCUUCUAGAAUUUAUUUGAGUUUCACUUUUAACAUUUUGAUCUCUGACCCACUGGAAUUUACUCCAUAGGCAAUCUCUUAUGUCACCUUCUGGGCACAGACUUUAUUGUUUGGUAUAUGCUAUUUCCUGGGACAACCAUAAUAAUCUCUUUUAUUCCAAUCCUCCAAAACUGUGAGUCAGUGAUAACUUUUUGUUUGUUUGAUUUAAGCCACCCAGUUGGGACAUUUUAUGAUGACUCUCAAUCCUAUAGCUCUGGAAACUGAAUGCUGAAGAUUCCCAGACUUCUGUCGAGGACUCACACCUCUUUCCAGCCGUUCACUUCACGUCCUCACUUGGAUAACUCGUAGACAUCUCUAACCUGACGUGUCCAGACUGAAUUUCCGACGUCCGUCCGGUAACCCGCAUCUCCAGGCUCUGCCUCUCCGCUGACAGCAACUCCAGCCGUCAGCGGCUCAGACAAUGGCCCUGGAGUCAACCCUGACACUUUUGUUUUUUCAUGUACCCCACAUCCAACCAUACGGAAAUCUUAUUACAUCUGCUUGGAAAUAUAGCCCGGAUCCAACCCUUUCUUACCCCCUGGUAGCACCUGGUCCGAGACACCAGCCUCCCCAGCUCCCUCCAUUCUACUCUAGUAGACGCCAACGUCCUCCCCAGGUCUGUGAGAUCCACACAAAUCCCCCCUUCUCUCUUCCUCUUCCCUGCCUGGCCCGGCUCCUCCGACGCCGGCUCGCUCUGGCUCGCUCUGCUGUAGCUGCCCCGGCCUGCUUGCUCUGCCGUGUAGACGCAAGGCGCACUCCUACAUUAGAUUCUGACUGUCCCAAAUACCUUUCUCGAGAACACACCCUAAUGACUAAUUUAUUCACCUCCUUCAAGGCUUUGCUCACGUGUCAGAUUGUCAAUAAGCUCUACCCUGACCGCCCUAUUUAAUAUUAAAAACUACCCUCUGUUCUCCAAAUCCUCCUUGUCCUGCUCUGAUUUUGCUUAGAAUAUAAGCUCCUGGGGACAGGCAGGGUCUUCCGCUUUGCUCACUGAUGUAUCCCAAGAGCACAUAAUAAGUGCUCAGUACGUACUUGCUCUGGAUGAAAACACACAUAUCGAUGUGUAUAUUUGAAUAUGUUUAUCAGGUGCUUAAGUGCAUUUUUAAUUUUAAACUAUGUUUUUAAAAUUAAUACAAUAAUACAUACUUACUGUAAAGAAUUCAAUACAGAAAGUGUAUAAAGUAAAAAGUAGAAGUACCUGUUUCCACUAACCCAUGUCUGACUGUAACCACUGUUUCUUUCUUUCUUUUUUUUAAUUU